CUCCGACCAACCUAACACAUGCAAGUCGAGCGGACAGAUGGGAGCUUGCUCCCUGAUGUUAGCGGCGGACGGGUGAGUAACACGUGGGUAACCUGCCUGUAAGACUGGGAUAACUCCGGGAAACCGGGGCUAAUACCGGAUGGUUGUUUGAACCGCAUGGUUCAAACAUAAAAGGUGGCUUCGGCUACCACUUACAGAUGGACCCGCGGCGCAUUAGCUAGUUGGUGAGGUAACGGCUCACCAAGGCAACGAUGCGUAGCCGACCUGAGAGGGUGAUCGGCCACACUGGGACUGAGACACGGCCCAGACUCCUACGGGAGGCAGCAGUAGGGAAUCUUCCGCAAUGGACGAAAGUCUGACGGAGCAACGCCGCGUGAGUGAUGAAGGUUUUCGGAUCGUAAAGCUCUGUUGUUAGGGAAGAACAAGUACCGUUCGAAUAGGGCGGUACCUUGACGGUACCUAACCAGAAAGCCACGGCUAACUACGUGCCAGCAGCCGCGGUAAUACGUAGGUGGCAAGCGUUGUCCGGAAUUAUUGGGCGUAAAGGGCUCGCAGGCGGUUUCUUAAGUCUGAUGUGAAAGCCC
rnacentral:rRNA from 1 species